GCUGAGUCAUGCCUGGUUGGCAGGUGCUACGCACGGCAGAUCUCCCGGAGUCUUCACAGCUGGACGGAUGAGCGCAGGGCGGUGGCGCCGUUGGGCGCCGUGGUGGCGUCGACGGAUGAUUGGACUGGCAAGGAUGAUGCGGAUCUCUUUCUUGAAGAUGGGUCAGUGGUUCGAGGAUGAUGGCGGCUGGUAAAACGUGUGCGUGAGGUGUGCGUUUUAGGUGUGCUGCACCGGC
rnacentral:lncRNA from 1 species